rnacentral:rRNA from 1 species
UAGAGAUAGCUGGUUAUUUAGGAAACGAAUCUUAGUUCUACUUUAAAUCUUACUAUAAUCUCAAUAUAAUAAUAGAUUUAAAAUUUAUUCAAAUAAGGUACAGCCUAUUUGAAAAAGGAUACAACCUACAAGAUUGGGUAAUAUAACAAUUUAUAUAACCAAGUGGGCCUAAAAGCAGCCACCUUUUAAAAAGCGUCAUAGCUUUUCUACAUUAAUUACUAAUACUGAUUUAAACUCAAAACCCCUCAUCAAUACUAAAUGACUCCAUACCAUAUGGAAAACCUUAUGUUAGAACUAGUAACAAGAAUUAUUUCUCCACAAACGUGAAUGUAAGCCGAAACGAACCACUCACCGGCAUUUAUCGCCAACGAAUCUACAGUAACAACUAUUACAAGAAAAUCUUACUCUUUCAAGCGUUAACCUUACACUAGAACUUUCCUGGAAAGAUUAAAAAAGAGGGAAGGAACUCGGCAAAUAUUAACUCCGCCUGUUUACCAA